GCCGCCAUCGUCUAGGGGACUAGGACGCCGGCCUCUCACGCCGGAAACCCGGGUUCGAAUCCCGGUGGCGGUG
rnacentral:tRNA from 1 species